UUGGCUCAGGAUGAACGCUGGCGGCGUGCCUACACAUGCAAGUCGAACGGAGUUAUUUUGACGGAUUCCUUCGGGAUGACGGAUUUUUAACUUAGUGGCGGACGGGUGAGUAACGCGUGAGUAACCUGCCUCUAAGAGGGGAAUAACGUUCUGAAAAGAUCGCUAAUACCGCAUAACAUAUUGAAGCCGCAUGACUUUGAUAUCAAAGAUUUAUCGCUUAGAGAUGGACUCGCGUCCGAUUAGCUUGUUGGCGGGGUAACGGCCCACCAAGGCGACGAUCGGUAGCCGGACUGAGAGGUUGAACGGCCUCAUUGGGACUGAGACACGGCCCAGACUCCUACGGGAGGCAGCAGUGGGGAAUA
rnacentral:rRNA from 1 species